rnacentral:rRNA from 1 species
GCGGUGGAGCAUGUGGUUUAAUUCGAAGCAACGCGAAGAACCUUACCAGGUCUUGACAUCCCCUGACAACCCGAGAGAUCGGGCGUUCCCCUUCGGGGGACAGGGUGACAGGUGGUGCAUGGUUGUCGUCAGCUCGUGUCGUGAGAUGUUGGGUUAAGUCCCGCAACGAGCGCAACCCUCGACCUUAGUUGCCAGCAUUCAGUUGGGCACUCUAAGGUGACUGCCGGCUAAAAGUCGGAGGAAGGUGGGAUGACGUCAAAUCAUCAUGCCCCUUAUGACCUGGGCUACACACGUGCUACAAUGGGCGGUACAAAGGGUCGCGAACCCGCGAGGGGGAGCCAAUCCCAAAAAGCCGCUCUCAGUUCGGAUUGCAGGCUGCAACUCGCCUGCAUGAAGCCGGAAUCGCUAGUAAUCGCGGAUCAGCAUGCCGCGGUGAAUACGUUCCCGGGCCUUGU